rnacentral:rRNA from 1 species
ACAGGGAUUGCCCUAGUAACGGCGAGUGAAGCGGCAACAGCUCAAAUUUGAAAUCUGGCUCUCGGGCCCGAGUUGUAAUUUGUAGAGGAUACUUUUGAUGCGGUGCCUUCCGAGUUCCCUGGAACGGGACGCCAUAGAGGGUGAGAGCCCCGUCUGGUUGGAUGCCAAAUCUCUGUAAAGUUCCUUCAACGAGUCGAGUAGUUUGGGAAUGCUGCUCUAAAUGGGAGGUAUAUGUCUUCUAAAGCUAAAUACCGGCCAGAGACCGAUAGCGCACAAGUAGAGUGAUCGAAAGAUGAAAAGCACUUUGAAAAGAGAGUUAAAAAGUACGUGAAAUUGUUGAAAGGGAAGCGUUUAUGACCAGACUUGGGCUUGGUUAAUCAUCUGGGGUUCUCCCCAGUGCACUUUUCCAGUCCAGGCCAGCAUCAGUUUUCCCCGGGGGAUAAAGGCGGCGGGAAUGUGGCUCUCUUCGGGGAGUGUUAUAGCCCACCGUGUAAUACCCUGGGGGGGACUGAGGUUCGCGCAUCUGCAAG